rnacentral:piRNA from 1 species
UGUGAAGAAAAGAGGAAAGCAGAAGGGUGU